GACGAACGCUGGCGGCGUGCUUAACACAUGCAAGUCGAACGGAAAGGCCUGCUUUCCCUUGUGGAUUGCGGGUACUCGAGUGGCGAACGGGUGAGUAACACGUGAGUGAUCUGCCCCCAACUUGGGUAUAAGCCUGGGAAACUGGGUCUAAUUCCCGAUAGGACUGCAGGGUGGUGCCUGUGGUGGAAAACGAUUUUCUAGUGGUUGGGGAUGAGCUCGCGGCCUAUCAGCUUGUUGGUGGGGUAAUGGCCUACCAAGGCGGCGACGGGUAGCCGGCCUGAGAGGGUGGACGGCCACAUUGGGACUGAGAUACGGCCCAGACUCCUACGGGAGGCAGCAGUGGGGAAUAUUGCACAAUGGGCGGAAGCCUGAUGCAGCGACGCCGCGUGGGGGAUGACGGCCUUCGGGUUGUAAACUCCUUUCGACCGCGAGGAAGCCACCUGGUUGGAAGGGUGGUGACGGUAGUGGUAGAAGAAGCUCCGGCUAACUACGUG
rnacentral:rRNA from 1 species